rnacentral:rRNA from 1 species
UACGAAGGGGGCUAGCGUUGCUCGGAAUCACUGGGCGUAAAGGGCGCGUAGGCGGCCAUUUAAGUCGGGGGUGAAAGCCUGUGGCUCAACCACAGAAUUGCCUUCGAUACUGGAUGGCUUGAGACCGGAAGAGGUAAGUGGAACUGCGAGUGUAGAGGUGAAAUUCGUAGAUAUUCGCAAGAACACCAGUGGCGAAGGCGGCUCACUGGCCCGAUACUGACGCUGAGGCACGAAAGCGUGGGGAGCAAACAGG